UACGUAGGGUGCGAGCGUUGUCCGGAAUUAUUGGGCGUAAAGAGCUUGUAGGCGGUUUGUCGCGUCUGCCGUGAAAUUUCGGGGCUCAACCCCGAACUUGCGGUGGGUACGGGCAGACUAGAGUGCGGUAGGGGAGACUGGAAUUCCUGGUGUAGCGGUGGAAUGCGCAGAUAUCAGGAGGAACACCGAUGGCGAAGGCAGGUCUCUGGGCCGCAACUGACGCUGAGGAGCGAAAGCAUGGGGAGCGAACAGG
rnacentral:rRNA from 1 species